rnacentral:snRNA from 1 species
GGACUUACCUAGCAGGAGAGCCACCAUAAUCAUGAUGGUGGUUUUCCCAGAGAAAGGCCACGGCGCUUGGGUGUGUUGAUCCUUGUGAUUUCUCCAAAUGCGGUUGCAUUAUUUGCAGCAGAGGAGGUCUGCAUCCACGCUUUCCCCUG